UUAGCUCAGCCAUUGGGAAGAAUUCAAACCAGCUUAAGGUGACCGCUAAAGGACUAAAAGUUGAUCGUUCUCAAGGGUCGUUCUUUAAAUCAUUCUAGCUCGAAUCUGAGGUAAAGGCAAGAGGAAGCUGGACCAUCCUUGAGUUGGAGAGCUUAGGUGAUGAUGUGUACAUAUGCAGCUGCUCGUCCUCCACGGCCGAGGUUUAAAGUGGAACUAGGGUUAAACCCUGUUUUGCCGCUUAGAAUGACAUGUUGUAAGUAUUUUCUGUAAUAGACUCUGAAAUUAUAUUUUCGGGAUCCCAAUGUAUAUAUUAAACGUUCUAGUGAAACGUUACAUCUUAACCAAAGAUUUUAAUCCCUAAACUGCUAAUCAUACUUAGUACACGAUUUUGGCCAAAUGACUCGGUUAGCGAGUUUAGCACUGUUUACAAGGCACACUGUAACGGUCCAUGGAGUUUGGGGCGUUACAAUCCUUCUCCCGAAAAACCAUACAACAUCAUAGAGGUCGCCUUCAGCUCGGCGACAGUCAAACCCAUCUUCUCCAGCGUGGACCGGAAUAGAAGGUUUACCGAGCUCCCAUUAUCGAUCAGCACUCUUCUAACCCUCCGAUUAGUGAGCUGCACUGCUACGACCAGGGGGUCGUUAUGAGGGAACUGAACAUGACCAGCAUCUUCUUCCGUAAAAAUGAUUGGUUGUCUCUCCAAUCGCUGUUGCUUUGGCAGAUGCUGCUCCGGGACGAACUCUACUCCAUUAUGCGCCUUGAGUUCGUUUACGUACGAUAUUUGGCAGGUUACCCUGGGGAUAUCUACCCUUUUGAAAUAAUACAAGGACAACUUUCCUUCCUGAAUGGUGCUUCAUAUUAUAAGGGCCUUUGUGGUUAAAGAAACUUACCACAUUUUCGUUCAUGGAGAUCAACUAGAAAAAGCUUGAUCGAAGAAGACGUAUCAGAGAACAUUGAUUGAUUGGAUAAAAUAUUUGUAUAUUGGAAUGAGGUUGUGAGAGAGUGAUGAUAAAGAAUAUCACGAGACUAGAUAAAGUAUUACAAUACAUUUUAAUACUAUCUUAUUCUUUAGUAGUCAAUAAUACAUGUUAUAUUGUUUAAAUUUGUAUUGUAAUAAAUUUUUACUGUAAUAAGUUUUACAAUAAUGAUAUGCUCCACUCCACGC